UACGUAGGGGGCAAGCGUUGUCCGGAUUUAUUGGGCGUAAAGAGCUCGUAGGCGGCUUGUCGCGUCGACUGUGAAAUCCCGCGGCUCAACUGCGGGUCUGCAGUCGAUACGGGCAGGCUAGAGUUCGGUAGGGGAGACUGGAAUUCCUGGUGUAGCGGUGAAAUGUGCAGAUAUCAGGAGGAACACCGGUGGCGAAGGCGGCAUCCUGGACCAACACUGACGCUGAGUGAGCGAAAGCCAGGGGAGCAAACGGG
rnacentral:rRNA from 1 species